rnacentral:tRNA from 2 species
GCCCGAGUGGCGGAAUUGGUAGACGCGUUGGUCUCAAACACCAAUGGGAUAACACUCGUGCCGGUUCGAGCCCGGCCUCGGGUACAA